AUAGGUAGGUAAAACCUUCAGCAAUCAGUUCUCUAUUUACUGUUUGCAUCAACUCUUCAGGUAUGAAAAUAAGAGAACUUUUACCAUGGACACUAUCCUAUCUAUUUUUCUCUGUUUGUAGUUUCCCUCUCCCAGCCUGUGCUGACUCAACUGCCAUCUCUCUCUGCAUCUCCGGGAGCAUCUUCAAAACUCACCUGCACUCUGAGCAGUGGCUUCAGUAUUGAUAGCUAUAGGAUAUAUUUGUACUAGCAGAAGCCAGGGAGUCCUCCCAAGUAUCUCCUGAACUACUACUCAGAGUCAGACAAGCACCAGGGCUCUGGGGUCCCCAGUCGUUUCUCUGGAUCCAAAGAUACCUCAGCCAAUGCAGGUGUUCUGCAGAUAUCUGGGCUCCAACUUGAAGAUGAGGCUGACUAUUACUGUGGGAUGUGGCACAGUGGUGCUUUUCACAGUG
rnacentral:lncRNA from 1 species